CCUGGCGGCACUAGCGCGGUGGUCCCACCUGACCCCAUGCCGAACUCAGAAGUGAAACGCCGUAGCGCCGAUGGUAGUGUGGGGUCUCCCCAUGUGAGAGUAGGGAACUGCCAG
rnacentral:rRNA from 2 species